GCCAGCAGCCAUAUCACUCUGCAACUCUGCAACUCACGACUGGCAUCCCACUGAAGCUAAGCAGGUGUGUGCCUGGUCAGUACCUGGAUGGGAGACCUGGGAAAAACCAAGGUUGCUGCUGGAA
rnacentral:rRNA from 1 species